rnacentral:pre_miRNA from 1 species
AGCCCUAUGCCCUAGUCUCUGAUGUUCUCAAAUAUCUCAGUGACUUGAGCAAAGGGACAUC